rnacentral:rRNA from 1 species
UACAGAGGGUGCGAGCGUUAAUCGGAUUUACUGGGCGUAAAGCGUGUGUAGGUGGCUUCCUAAGUCGGUUGUGAAAUCCCCGGGCUUAACCUGGGAAUGGCGUUUGAAACUACGGAGCUGGAGUGUGGCAGAGGGAGGUAGAAUUCCACGUGUAGCGGUGAAAUGCGUAGAUAUGUGGAGGAAUACCGAUGGCGAAGGCAGCCUCCUGGGCCAACACUGACGCUCAUGCACGAAAGCGUGGGGAGCAAACAGG